UUUUCAAUCCCUUUGUUUUCCCUCAUUUCUCAACCAUUUUCUUUGUAUUUUAUAUCAAAAUGAAGCCCCAAGCAUGUAGUUUCACGCUAUACUACUUUAAAGCUCUAAAAACUACGAAAUCUCACCAUAGAAAUUCCAAGAAAACCGGCCAAAUUCAAAUCCAGUGAUCCCGACGUCCAAAACCUUCAAACGAAGCACUCCGAGCUUCCUUGGGACCUCACUAAGCUCACUAUAAGCUUGGAUUGUCCUAAAAAUCAACCAACACAAAGUUCAUGAAUAGUGCCAAACUCGGACCUCGAGUUUUCAACGUGAAAACGAAGGGUUUCUUACCUAAAAUGGGCGUGGUUGAGUUCGUAGAGUCCUCACGAGCACGAUGGUGCCUUCAAAAUCCUUCGUCUUCUGGGGCAGCACCGCGUAGUGAAGCUCCAACUGAUCAACCUCCGAUACCUCCUCCUUCCGUGGCCCCGCCGACUGCUGAAGCUCCGCCAACUACUGAAGCACCACCUGACCAAUGAAUGCUAUUAGUUUACACAUCAUUGUAAAAAAAUGUUUAUUUCUAUUUUUUAUUUUUUUAUUUUUUUUAUUUUUUUGUUUUUUGUUUUUUUUUUGUUUUUUUUUUGUUUUUUUUUAAUCAAUGUAAAAUAUGUAAAUCAAUGUCAAAAAGACUUUGGUUAACCUUCCCCAACACUUAAACUAAAUAACACAAACUCACAGAAAUCAACCAAAUAACACAACUAACUAAACAAAACAAAAUGAAAGCAGUAAAGAUAAGGGUGUAAGAAUUCAAAUCUGAUUUGGUUAGCGAUUCCAAAGUCUCCCUUCGUUGAAUGCUUGGGUUACCUCCCAAGAAGCGCUUGAUUUAACGUCCUUAGCCGGACGAAUCUUUCCUUUAAACUCCCCUCGGCUCCAAAGCAUGGAAUUUAUCUUUUAAUGGGAGGUGAUACUUGAAAUGAUUCGGCAAUGGUUUAAAUUCAAGAGUGGGUGCCUGAAUCAUCAAAAUCAGAAACAUGUUAGUAUAAAUUAAAAUUAAAAUUGGAGAAGAUGGCUUACUUUCUUUUUCCGACACAAACUCAAUGACAAACACCACAUAUGUGAACAUUUCCGGGACUUUGAACUUGGCCAGGUUUACUAUGAUGGUUGUGGCUUGUCCCGUGUCAUCAAACUCAACUGCUUUGGGCUUGAUUGUCUCAUGCACAGCCUCUUGGAUGUAUUCUUGAUAUGCUUCAACCACUUCAUUUUCUUGAAUCCCUUUUCUUGGUGUGCAAGGUUCUUUGAACGUUUCAAUACCCUCGGGAACUUGUUUUGGUGCACCAAGAAUUGGGAUAUCACUUUGCACCUUUGGAAGAGCUUCCACAAUGUCUUUUUCACUCUCUUUGAUAUUUGGAAUCAAAAACCUGCAAGGACAAAGGACAUUCGGUGGAAUAAUGUUAGAAUGAAGUGAAUUUAGAACUUCCUCACCUGAGUUGGAUGACAUAGGGAUUUGAGGAGCUUGCAGCAAGAAUUCUUCUAAACUGCCCAGGUCGUCCUCCUCCUCUUCUGCUUGCAGCAGCAAUUCAUCCAUGUUCGGGCUGUGUUUGGAUGGUUCUGGGACAGCUUCAUCCUUCAUGUCACCUUCCAAGGUGAUGGCUUCAUCGAUUUCACUUUCUGCCUUUGAAUUUGCAAUGUUUGAGUUGGAAAGUUCACUUAGAUCUCGAAUCUGUGCCAUGAAUUCCACAAUCUGCCCAACUUGCAUAUCCAAUUCGUCCAAUCUUUUGACUCGGUCUUGCAUCUCCUGGUUUUGAUUUUCUACUCCCUGAUUCAAAGAGGUGAGUAACUUAUUAAGUGUAUCAUUAUCCAAGGACGUACCUGAAUUGAAUUGGGUUGAUUGUUGUGGUGGCUGUGACGGUUCAUAUGGCCACUGAUAGAACUCUUCUGAUGGCGGCAAUUGUUCUUCUUUUCGUAAACCCUGCGCCACAGAAAUUAGUCCUUCAAGAAUUUCAUUAUAAUUCAUGGGCAUACUUUGAUUUGAUUGGAAUUGUUGUGGGGGAUGUUGUGGUGGCUGCAUAGGUCUUGAAUAGAACUCCUCAUAUGGCUGCCAAUAUCCAUCUUGUUGGAAUUGUUGAGGUUCCCCCCACAUAUAAUUUGAAUGAUCUCUCCAAGCCGAAUUGUAAGCGUUGGAAAACAUGUUGUUGCUUGGUUGAUCAUAGCCUUGAUAACCCCAAGCAUCUUCGUUCACAUUGAAUUGAGGAUGUUGAUGAGUUUGAUAUCCGUGCCCAUAGGACAUGCCAAAUGUAGGGACACUUUGCAUUAUGGUCCUUCCGGCAAUCUAUGACAAUUGAGAAGUAAGAUUCGCCAAUUGAGCUUGAAUGUUAGCAAAAUCCAUGUCUUACUUCUCUAGUAUCUGAAAUCAAAGAAACAAAACUAAAUCAAAUAUCAAGAGUAACACAAAACAAAGAAAACAAAACUAAGUCAGAAACUAAAACAAAAACAAACUAAACAAAAAGAAAAGAACCAAGGGAUUAGCAAAUUUGCUAAUCCCCGGCAACGGCGCCAAAAUUUGAUGCGAGAAUUACUUGACACACAAAUUAAACCCUCUUUUUGACAAUUGUAGUAUAGAUGUAAGUAGGGUAUCGUUCUAGGCCGGGGAUUAGGAGGGAUUGCUAAUCUAUUGUAAAUUAAUUUAAAAAUAUUAAAUAAGACUCAAGGACACAAAACUAGGCUAAAAACUCUAAUAACUCGAAAACACACUUAAAAUGACUCAAAAUAAUGAAAACAAUUAAAUUAAACACUAGGAACUGAAAUGGACGGAAAUUAAAUUAAAAGACUAACAAUAAAGAAAACUAACUAAAUAAUAUAAUUUAAUAAUGGAUGGGUGUUUGGUUUUGAUGAAAAGUAAAUUAAACUUAAUUAAAUUACAGAAUUGACAAAAACAUAAAAUUAAGGUAAAAUGAUAAAUGACGGACUAGCUAGAGGGUUCUUCUCCACACAUGUUAUACUUGCAUACAAAAUGAUUUCCAGUUGCUUUUCGAUAAGCUAUGAAUACUCAACGCCCCAAAUUAACCGUGAAUUGCACUAAUUAACCCUCAGUUUUUCCACAAGUUAUUGGGUUGGAUGAUUGCAUACGACAACCCAAAACAUUCCCUACAAGUUCCCUACAUGAGUUGCAUAAUAGAGAUACAAGCAAGAAUCAUUAAGUUUUAUGAAAAACAUAAGCAUUGACGGGACACUCGUUACUAUGAUUUGCAUGAAACUUAUGCCAAGAAUUUACUUAACGUGAUUGUGACUAGCAACCUUUACUACUUGUGAAUAUAAGUUCAUAACGAUUAGGUGAAAUUCACUUAUAUUCUAACAUCAAAUUCAUGCAUGUAAAUUAAGCAUGCACUCUCAACCAACAUACACAAAUCAGUUUUUAUACGAACGGAUAAGUAAAUUGAAUUCACAACUUAUAAAAUCACAACCGAAGGUAAUCAAUUCAUAUUACAAAUAUAUUCAUGGCUUUGAAUUAACCUCUAGCCAAAAUAAAUUUAGUUACACAUUAUUAUCAAAUUAAACCAAAAGUAAAACAUAAGUUUGGAAAGAUUUAACCGAAAGAUUGAGUGAAGCUUCUGCUUCUGUGCUAUUUCUGCGCCUAGCAAGUCGACUUGCCCUCCUUCCAAUUCUCCGUGUCUUACGCUGCUCUCACGCUGCCAAAGGCAGCGUUCCGUCCCCCCCUUCCAAUUCUCCUUCUGCGUUCCUUUUUAUAUAUCCCCUUCACGUCUGACCUCUCUCUCGUUUCUGCCUUUUCCUGGACUCUAGCUGUCCUCACGCUGCUAAAGGCAGCUUUCUGCUCUCCCUGUCUACCCGUAUGCCUUCUUCUUCCUGCACGUUCCCUCUGACCAGCUGCAAAGCAGCUUUCACACUGAUUUCCACUCCUCCUUUUCUUUUCUAUAUUUUUUUCUGCCCCUCUGUCUUCCAGCUCACGCUGUCUCUCUCUACAUAGCUGCCAACGCAGCCUUUUCUUUCAUUUUUCGCACUGCCCACGUCUCCUGCUCUCUGCUGCAAAGGCAGCUCCUUUCUCCUCCUUGACACGCUGCACAGCAGCUUUGUUUAUUCCUGCCCAAGGCCCCCUCGAGCUGCCGAGAACAACUUCUUCUUGUAUUUUCUUAUUUUCUGUUUCGGUGCACCGCCAAAGCCCCCCCAGCUGCUCAGCAGCUCAUUCCCUUUUAUUCCUCGGAGACCUUUAUUUCUGUUGCAAAGCAGCGUUUGUUUCCCGUGCUCCCCUUCGUUCUUUCCUUUGUUUUUCUUUUAUUCCUUUCCUUUUUUUAUUCCUUUCCAUCCGUUCUUUUCUUUUCUUCUACAAAACAAAACCAUCAUGAUGAUGUUUCAAACAUCAUCAUGACUUAUCAUUAUUAUAUAUAUUUUUUUUAAUUUAAUUUAAAAGCUGAUCUACACAGACAGUUUUGACGAAUUUAUUACAUAAAAUUUCACUUGUUCUAUUUUUAUUUUCUUUGCAUAACAAAUCCUAUAAACACAAAAAUAACGUAAAUAGCUCAAAAAUAUAAGGAACUAACUAAGAAAAGACGAGUGAAUUUGAAGUAAAAAUAUAUAUAAAUAUGAUCCGAUCACGUGACUCCCUACGAGGCGGUAUAAUUCUGACAGAAAACAUCAAAAGAUCAUUAGAGCAUUAACAAUUAUACAGGACUGCAACCUGGCUCUGAUACCAAAUUGACACACCCCGACCCAGAAAUCAGGGCGUGUUGGCCGUCACAUGAGUGUGACGUAACCAAAAGUGCGAUAUGGAAGCAAAGGAUAUAAUAAAUACGAAGGAAUAAAAACCAACUACUAACAGUAUAAACCAACUAGCGUGCUAGAGUGAGUUAUAUAGUAAAACACACAAUUCAGAGCGUAGGUACUAGGUGCAGUCAAGUACACUAUAAUUAAAUUACAACACCCGCAGGUGAGUCCUACAUGCAGGGUGUCUGUCAGAAAGCCGAAGAGAACCUCGUGAGCCACCAACUGCUAGCUAGAACCUAGAGGGGCGCAAAAACAAAAUUGAGUGGGUCAGUAAAACCAAAGCUUUCCAAAACAUUUCAUUUAAAACGUUUCUAACCCCUCACUGUAAAACCUGUAUACUUUCCCAGAAAAAUAGUAUAUAAACAUAUAUAUAUAAUCAAAAGCUCAACUCACAAUCCUUCACCACUUUUCAGAAAGAAGAUGCCAUGCCAUGCCAAAAUAUAAUAUGAAUGCAUCAAUAUAAAUCAGGUGAAAUAAUAAAUCAACCGGAGACCCUACAAUGGUCAUGUACGGCUGAUUCUAUAGCUCAAUAUCCCAUCCAGCCGGAGUCACCCACUGUGACCUGUACGGCACUACGCUGCACAUAAGUCGGAACUACUUAUAGUAGUCUGUACGACUAUGAUGGUGAAAUAAUACGCUCUAGUGCUUCUCUCAUCAAUCAUCUGCGCGCGUAAUCUAAGGUCACCUACUAGUCGGAACCACCUCUAGUGGUCUGUACGACUAGCAUGUCGAAACCCUCUCAGGGUCUGUACGACAUGCACCUACUUGGAUCCAAGAUGAGCGUCCGGUGCGGUGAAUAAUAUAAGCACUAACACCAAGGGUGCAAACUAUGAGCUCUCAACACAAUUCACAUUAUCGAUGAUUCACAUGAUUAACAUAAAACUCACAUGAUAAUCACCUGUGCGUCCACAACACCAAUUUACACAUAUAUAUGCAUCAAUAAACAAUUCAUAUUAUUCAUAAUAUGCAUGCAUGGCAAUUGAAAACAUACUUUCAUAUAAAUUCAAUUUCUGGGAAAAUUAAUAGUAUAUAGGUAUAUACGAAAACAAAAUUGCCCACUCACUGGUAAGUCGAUGGGUCGUAGCCCCCAUGACGUCCCUGGAUGCGCUCGUCCUCGGGAUAGGUGUCACUUAUAUACGAAACAACUAUAAAAACAUUAAUUAAUGCACAUAACCGACAAUUCAAAAUAACUUCUCAUACGGUGCUCAAUUUGGGUAUAUGAAUAUACCACAUCGACCUACUAGACGUCACGGACGUCGAGAAAUUUUUAGAAAUUUUUUUUGAAGUGGCACGAGCCCCCACGCGCCAGGGCAACACGGGUACACGCGCCCCCCCCCCCCACGCAUGUCUUCUUCCUUGGUUCACCGGACUGUGUUUUCCGGUGGCCGAAAAACUGGGGAUUUUUCAAUCCCUUUGUUUUCCCUCAUUUCUCAACCAUUUUCUUUGUAUUUUAUAUCAAAAUGAAGCCCCAAGCAUGUAGUUUCACGCUAUACUACUUUAAAGCUCUAAAAACUACGAAAUCUCACCAUAGAAAUUCCAAGAAAACCGGCCAAAUUCAAAUCCAGUGAUCCCGACGUCCAAAACCUUCAAACGAAGCACUCCGAGCUUCCUUGGGACCUCACUAAGCUCACUAUAAGCUUGGAUUGUCCUAAAAAUCAACCAACACAAAGUUCAUGAAUAGUGCCAAACUCGGACCUCGAGUUUUCAACGUGAAAACGAAGGGUUUCUUACCUAAAAUGGGCGUGGUUGAGUUCGUAGAGUCCUCACGAGCACGAUGGUGCCUUCAAAAUCCUCGAUCCACGAAGUUUCAGGGUUUUAUGGCAUUGGUCCGUACGUUUCAAGAGGGAGAGAGUGAGAGUCGUGAGGGAAGGGAGAGAGAGAGGGUACGGGAAAGAGAGAGGGAGAGGUUUAACAUGUGUGGUCCAUCCCAACAUUCACCAUCCAACUUCAAUCCCUAGCCACACAAUUUACAAACCAAUUUUUAAUCCAACCUAAUAAUUUUAUAAAAACUUAUGAAAUAAAUGUAUUUAGUCCAAAAGAUAUGUCACACAUACACAUACCUUAAUACCCGUUAAGGGUAAUUUCGUCAUUUUACGUCCCCGAUAUAUAAAAUCCCGGAACGGGCUGUGACAUUGAAAGUUUAGUAAAUUAUUUUGGUAUUUCUUUAUUUUAGGUGUUUAAAGAAAUGUGUAAGAGUAAAUUGGGUGGUUAGAGACAUGCGUUUAGGCAUACUCAAAACCACUCUUUCCAAAAACGCCACCAACUCCAAUCCUGCUAUCCCCCAUUCAUUUGAUGCUUAUGAAUACGAGCUUAAACACACUCCACAACCAAUGGCUCAGAUGAUUAUCAUGUAAUCAUAUGGUACUAAUUAGUUCAUAAUCAAAUACUCAAAUUCUUUUGAACUCUUUAAUUUUCCUCUGACUUUACUAAAAUUGAAAAGAAUGUGAACUUGCCUUUUGAAAUCCCUAAUCAAAUACUUCAAAAUCAAGAAUCUAUCAACUAGAGCACUAGUUGAUCUGAUUCCUUCCUUACUUCCCUUAUUUCUAAGUUCUCCAAUUCAUUCUUUCUCUCAUUUUUGUUAGUAAACAUGUAUGUCCCAAAUUCAAACAUAAAUAAAAUUGAUUUAGCCUAAGUGCAACAAUCGAAAUCACAAUCCUUACAACAUCGGCCGUGAUAAGUAGUGAUUAAGUUUUAAUCAUAUAUAUAACUUGCUUCCUAAGCAAUCAAAAAAUAACCACGAGACCAAAUUAGGGUUCGAUAAGUACUUCCUUCCAGCUUAAUUGACCUGAUGAACAGCCUGACCUGCAUAUUUAUAUCCUACUAGUUAAUUCCUAUAUAUAUACUCUCUUGUGAAUGGAAAUUGGCCAAUGAGAGAACUGCUUCAACUGGGGGUAAUGAAUGGUAAUUAAACAAUUAAGUCACCAUAUAAAUCAGCAAGUUCCGAAACUCACAGAAACUUCACUGUUAGAGAACCUCUGCCAGAUGCUGCCUCUUCUGCAGUAGUGCCCCUGCUACAACAACUUCAACUGAACUGUAGUACUUUUUGGAACGUGGCUCAAUUAGUUUAGCAGUAAAUACUUCUUCCUCCCUAAAUACGAUGAGUUACUACUCCUCUAUUAUUAUCUAGGUCAAAUAAUUGAAGUAUAUGAAUUAUGACGAGGUCCCCAUGAAUUUGAAUGGCUUUAUCACUUCGUUAGAAUUAUGCAUAUAUGAUGCAGCUAGCCAAGGGUCUCCCCACUACUAGUUUCUAAUUACGUGAAAGACCUGUAGUUAAUUAAUUUUAAAAAAAAUAUCAACAGCAAGAACUCAUAAGAAGCUUCACUUGCAGAUAUGGAUAUGGAAAUGCAUGUGAAAUUUAAGACUUGCAUUAGUGAUGAAAUGCGGGCAAGGCCCCAGCAGCCAUGGCAUGCAGGCCAGAUCAUUGGAGGUCCAAAAACAUAUAAAAGCUAGCUAGCUAGCAGUACCACUGCAUACACCCUGUCAAACUGCGUGCUAUCUAAGCGGGUAUGUGUUGAGAGAAUGACUUCACAUGUAUAUAUAUCAUCACCAUUACAUUUUGUGUUAAUGUAGAAAAUAAUUUGUAAAUUUAUGUUCACAUGACGUUAUAUCAUUGACAUGAAAAAACACAAUAUUAAAUUAUAUCCAUACCAUAUAAGUUAUUCUCAAGCCAAAUCCACAUUAGUAACAAAGUACCUUGACGUAGUAGGGGCUCUUUGAACUUUAUAACACAUGUUUGCAUUUGUAACAUCUCAAAUUGCAAAAAAAACACCCUAGCAUGAAGAAAAGAAUACAAAAAAGUCCGCCAAAAUUACGCCAAAGUCCCUUCUAACCUAUCAUUUUAUUCAAUGCUAAAAAAACAAAGAACCUCUUCCAUUUCAUCCAAGCUAACCUUCUCUCAAUCCAGUUGACAAAAUGGGAUAAAGUGGGAUAUAGAUGAUGAGUACAGAGGGUAGAGUGAGUGAGAAAUUAUAAUAGAACAUAAGAAGUAAAGGGAGAUUUCGUUUACAGUAUUAUGGGGCACAUCUAAAAUAAGCCUUCUCAAAGUGAUCUCCAUGAUAUACAAGGCAUAUUCAAUCAGCUACUGUUUACCCAAAAUAUCAGGUUAUGUUAUAAAUAGCUAAAAAUGAAAAAGGGAACAUUUGCUAGAAAUUGAAGUGGAACAAGAUUGAUAUUAUCACCUUCACUUUUGAUCUUAUGUGUUGUUAAGAAGAUCUAAACAUAUCUCUAUAUAUAGAUGUUUUCAUCCGACACUACUUUACAUGCAUGAAGAAACUUUACAUACCAAGAUAGUAAAAAUCAUACUCAUACCAUUUAAGUCUACAAUCUUAGCCUACAAACUUGACUUCAAUUCUUCCAUCUUUAAUCCAAUUAUGUGUCCAUUCAUUCACAUUUUUACAACAGGCUAAAUUCAACACACAAAUUAUGAGCUUAGCACUCUGCUCCAAAUUAAUUUGAAACUGCCUUAUAUAUAUGGUCAGAAUGUUUCUCUCAAACUUUGAUGGAGAGAAGAACCUGGCCUCCUUCAGUACAUUUCUGGAAUGAUGUUAGUUAAAUUGCUCUUCCACCAAACAUAACCGGGUACCGUAAAAUCUCAAGAAUAAACCUUUUAGUUUUCCAGGUGUUCAUUAUUUUGUCUCUAUGUUUUGAAGAAGUGUUUUUAAUGAGACAUCAGUGCAUUAAAUAUCACAUUCAUACCAGUCAGGCAGUCACCUAAUAAUGUUAAUUAACUGGGUCCUGUCCUGGCCAUGGUAUAUCAAGAAUUUUUUUUCUUUGUGUCGGGAAAACGAAUAAGUACACAAAGUGUAACUAUACAAUUGGUGAAUUUCUUU
rnacentral:lncRNA from 1 species